rnacentral:lncRNA from 10 species
GCAGGAUCCCUGGGCAUAGUCGCUUGUUCUCCGCCCGCGGUGGACCAGCUGCGUAACGGUUCACACACUGAUGGCGCCUGGAGGUUUGGCGAAAUACUGACAGGAUGCGACGUCAACGGGAGCGCAGGGCCAAGAUACCCUUUAUAUCAAACCGUCUAUCCUGGAGCAGAAAAAUCCUGUCUUCAUUGCUAUAGCUACAGAUUCAGAAAUGAGCAUGUAACAAAUUCAGGCCAAAGAGAGGCAAUGGAAAUCAGAGAAACACUGUUCCUGAAAGCUUCUGUCACUCAAGAAUCCAUGAAACAUUCAUGAACUUCACAUCAGAAGCCAAGCCCAGAAAAUAUGGGUUUAAGGUUUGCCUAUAUGUCCAAUACAAGAGAAAAAAGAACAUUCCACUUCUUUAGAAGGUUCUACUUUGAUCUCCUGAUUCCAGUUGUGAAAAAAAAUUGUGCCUAAAGAAUAUAGUCCCUUUAUAGAAUUGUUUUGAAACCUACCACAGGUAUUUCUACACAGGAAGAUUUCUGUAUUUGUCUUCUUAACUCUUGAGUUUUGUUGUUGCUAAUAUUGGAUGAAGAGGAGACAAAAUGAUUGGAUCUAGAGGAGCACCGACAAGCAAAUGGCAGAUUCCUAGGCCCUCACCAGAGGCUGAGCAGAUGUUGGUGCCAUGCUUGUACAAGUCUACGGAACCAUGAGCUAAAAUAAACCUUUUUUCUUUAGAAAUU